rnacentral:misc_RNA from 1 species
GAUGAAGAACGUAGUGAAAUGCGAUAAGUAAUGUGAAUUGCAGAAUUCAGUGAAUCAUCGAAUCUUUGAACGCACAUUGCGCCCGCCAGUAUUCUGGCGGGCAUGCCUGUUCGAGCGUCAUUUCAACCAUCAAGCCCCCGGCUUGUGUUGGGGACCUGCGGCUGCCGCAGGCCCUGAAAAGCAGUGGCGGGCUCGCUGUCACACCGAGCGUAGUAGAUUUCAUCUCGCUCAGGGCGUGCUGCGGGUUCCGGCCGUUAAACCACCUUCAUAACCCAAGGUUGACCUCGGAUCAGGUAGGAAGACCCGCUGAACUUAAGCAUAUCAAUAAGCGGAGGA